UUGUAGUAGAGAGAAAAAAAAAAUCGACGGUUUUCCUCCCCACAGCAAUCCUCAACGUCGUACCUAUGCCGGUCCCUAAGAACUUGACUCUCUUCCCCAAUCGCCGGUACUGUCUUUUUGGUUUCUAGAAUCAUCCUUUUUGAGAGACAUCGCAGUGGAGAGAAAAAAAAAAUCAACGGUUUUCCUCCCCGCAGCAGUCGUCGCCGUCACGCCUACUUCGGCCCCUAAGAACGCGACUCUCUUCCCCACUCGUCGCCACCUCGCCAUCACACGUACACCAACCCCUGGGAACUCGGCUCUCUUCCCCAACCAGUGGUACCUCGCUGCCUUCAGAUACGCAACCAGCAGAUUCCGACGACCAGAGGUUUGCCCAUCGUCGCACCUCCACUGGCCUUUAAGAACUAUGCACGUAGGAGCAGAUGGGGACGAAAAUUAGCAAGGAGGAAUUGUUCAUAGGGCUCAUGCUGGGGGCAAUGAAAAAAUGAUGUUAACAUAAAGCGAGUUGCUACAUUAUUGAAGCAUUUGUUGAAAGUUGCAUGCUGCACUUGUUUGGUAAUACUUAUAAGGAUUUGUCCUUAAAAGUCGACAGUGUCAAUUUAUAUGGAGGUAGUAUAAUUAAACAAAAUAUAAGGCACUUAUUCUCAACAGUGGCAAUGAAUGAGGCCUCUUGCUCCAGUCCAUUCCGUGACAUGAGCCGAAAAUCAUUGCCUGCCACAACUGUGAUGGAACUACCAUAAGAUCCUCCUUGUUUAUUGUCUCCAGUUCAUUUUUACUGUCCUUUCACUAAUUUGAGCCCCUAGCUUAGCCUCAACUACUCGAGCCUGGGGUUCAAUUCAAAUAAGGCCACGGGCAGACCCAUCAAGGGCCGAGCGGGGUCACCUGCUCUCGCUAUUUACAUGGAAAGCCUGGGGCUUAUUUACAAUUGAGGAAAUUGUUUAUGAACAACGUUAAGAAGAUGGAACACACUGAGGAUAUUUUCGGUGAACAUCAGGAAAACAUGAUGAUGAGGUGGUAUGCUUCUUCUACUGUAGAUUUUUCUUUUUACCUCUUUUUUGAAAAAAUAAAUAAAUAAAUCACCCCUGUUUAGUAUGAGUUGAUGAAAGUUGGUAAUUUCGUUCUUGGCUGUUUAGUUAACUUGGUAUUAGUUCACCAUCACUGAAAUGCUACAUUUGUCAUACUGCAUAUUUGUUCUUCAUGUAUUCAUAUAGCAUAAGUUAUUGAAGGAAGACAAAUUUGUUCUUGGCCAUUUAAUUCACUUGGUAAUUCGUCGUUUGUUUCUAUCAAUGUCUUCGUUCACUCUCAUGUUAGAUUUUUGGUAUUUAAAGGGAUGACACCGAUGGUAGCUUCAUGUACUCAAUUUUCACUUUAUCUGUACAUUUCUCUUUUAAAAGUUGAUCUCUAUGAGUUUUCCCUUGAAUUUUUGUUAGAUUCUGGAGCACUAGGUCUAGGACUACUACAAAAACACACUCUCUAUCGCUCCUCCAAGUUACUAAAACAACCUCACAGUGAAUAUGGUAAUCAAUUUAUUAACUCUUCAUUUGUAUUGCAAUUUGUAUUUUAUUUCUUUAAAUCUGGAAUGUGUGAAAAUAAGAGAAACUAUGAAAUUGGUGUUAUUUAUGAGCUAUUACUCGGUUUAAACAUAUUGUCAGAUUUUGUGGCUACUUUUUGCAAGAUUUCAGAGUUCGAUUUGCAUUGGCUUGUUCGAUUUCAUUGGUUAAAUAUUCUUUGUUAUUUUUAUGUUGGGUUUGUAUAUUAAACUUCAAUAUAUUAAAUGCUUGCUAUGUAGACUUUUGGUUUCCAGGGUCAGUUUAUCUUUUGUGGUUUCAAUUUGUUAGAGUGGGAUAUUUUUCCUCUUUCGAUUUACAUAGGUUGGCUUUUGUCUGAUUUCGUGGCUUCUUAUGUACAUAUAUAGGAAAUGCUUGUUGUACACACUUUUGAUUUCAAUGGGCAGUCAUUGAGUAUGAAUUUUUAUCUUUUGUA